GGAAUUGUGCCUGAACUUGAAGGGCCACUUUGAUAGAGUGAAUCAUGGGGGUUAAAAUCCCCCCAACUCCU
rnacentral:tRNA from 1 species